rnacentral:lncRNA from 1 species
ACUUUCAUAUUAAAAAAAAAAAAAAUAAAAAAAAAAAAUAAAAAAAUAAAAAAAAAAGAAAUAUGCAUACCGAGAAAAAGUAUGUACAUUCCGGUUCAUAACAAAAUGAUCUUUCGAGAUCAUAUUAAAUUGCGCGUGCAUUAUUCACCAAUAAAUUAUUUUUACUAAAGAUAUAUGUACAGUACAUAUAUCGAAGAGGAGAGAGAAUUUCGACUGGACGCAAUUCCCGUCGAAUUUUAAUUUCUUCGAAUGGAAUCAAAGUAUAGAGGAAAUGAAGAGAGGACCAAGAAGAAGCGAGGAAGAAUAAGAAACCGAGUCAAGGGGAUAACGGGAGAGCUAACGAUGGCGCGAUCGACGAGAAUGGAUUAUGAUUAUCGAUUGGCCACCUUUCAACGCGCAUCCCGUUGUUUUCUUGGCGAAACAAUCGUCUCGUGUUUGCGCGUUCGACGUGGACUUAGGACUGUGUGUGGUAAAGAAAGAAGAAAUCAAAUGGAAGUUAUACAUAGACGGGACAUAAUAUGUUGUCUCGUGUAAAUAAGGAAAAGACUCGAAAUUUUUUCGAUGAUAUAAUAAAUAAUUUAAUAAUCGUCCACACAAUACGAAGUUCGACAGAGGAACAAUUAUUUUUUGCCGUUUUUUCUUCUAUUGAAAAAAAAAAAAAAAGGAAACUUCUCGAAGUUUCCAUCGCUAGAGCGAUGAACAACUGCGGCGUAGCGAGAUGAUUAUCUUGAACGGCGAUGAUGAUGAUCCUCCGGAAAAGGAACGUAACUGAGAAAAAGAGCAAGUACUUGGAGAAAUAAUAUGGCGAAGGAUAAUAUAUCCAAGUCGUACCUAAAGCGUAAUUGUUUAUAUAUCGUAAUUUUGGUACUGUUAUUCGAGUACGUAUACACGCGUUUUUUUUCGAAGAAAUUAUAAUAAGCGCGUGACCAAUGGAAGAGGAGAAGAGGAUGAAGAAACACGAAAAAGAUGCAAAGAAGCAAUUGUCGGCGAUAAUAAAAUUAAAAGAUGAAACAGAGUAAAAUGGCAGCACCGCGGAAUGGAAGAUUUAAUACGAGUAAAGGAGGAAAUAUAUAAUAUGUCUUUCAAAGUGAGAGUGAUUGGUAAUGAAGAAGUAAGAACCUCUGAGCGAGGUUGGAGCGGAUGUGAUGAGAGGAUUUCUAAAAAACCAUCAGAAAAAAUGUCUUUUUGAGAACAAAAAGCACCAAAAAAAAAAUCAAUAUAUAAAACCAGUGGAGUGUGUGUGAGAAAGCACGAGUGGGAAGGAUGAUUGAAAAUAAAAAUAAGGAAAUAUCAACAAUGGAGAAGCUUAAUAAAGGGAUUUAGGAAUAGUAAGGAAACAUGGUAUCGGGAGAGAAAGUAAAUAUGGCUUUAAAAAAUAUUGGUGUGCAAUAAUCGCCGAGAUAGCUCAAAAAUGAAUCGAGCAGAAAACUUAGAUGAAAAGAAAAAAGAGAAGAUUCUUGGAUCUUCUUUCAUAUAUAUAAAGACAAGGAUUGCGAGGAUCUUUUUUUGUAGCAUGAUAAAAAUAAAUUUUUGAGGCGAUUCGUGAAAUAAAAGUCAGACUUGACUUCAUUGAAAAAUAUUUCAGUACAGCACAACUAUACACACGCGCAUACACAUACAUACAUACAUACAUAAUUCAUAUAUACACACGUAUGUACAUAAGGAAUAAAAAAACGAAAGAAGCAGACUAAGAAAUUUAAUCUUAAAAAAAAAAUUUGUGAGUCACGUGUGCAAAAUUCAAAUUGAAUAAACACUGGACGCACAUGUUUAUUACUAUCAUCGUUGCUAUCUGUAUGUCACGGCAUAUAUUAAUGGAAGUAAACGCAGGAGUGCGAAAACCUUCAAGAAACUGAAUGAAAAAGAAAUAAUAUUCAGAAAGUGAGAAAGAAAAUUGAUGACCAAACGCCUGAAAAUUUUUUCAAUAAUUGUACACCAUUUACCAUUUUUCAAAAGACAUAUAUAUACGUGUAUAUAAACACGUCAUAAUUAAAGUUUUUUUCAUAAUCAUCUAGCGUGUAAAUGAAUCUGCUCCUUUCAAGGAAAAACUAAAAGAAGAAGAAGAAGAAGAAGAAGAAGAAAUAGAGCAACGAGAGAAAAUUUUUAAUGUUUUUUGGCAUCCUGUCUUUUUUCUACUUAUUCUUUUUUAUUUCUUUUUCCUUAAUAUUACGCUUUCACCAUCCUUUCCUUUUCAUAAUAAUGAAAACUACUGGCCGAAAAUGUAUGUCACAAAAAAGCAUUCAGCUUUAUUCGUAAACAUUUUUUGAUGAUAAUAUUAUCCCUGUUCCUGUCUUAUACUAUAUUUUACAUGUUGCUCAUAUCCCGUCCACAUUUUCACUUUACUAUCCUUUUUUUUUUUCUUUAGGGCCCUUCUCAGGGCCCGCAAAUGCCUCAUGUAUGGAGUAGCAAUUUCUCGGAUGGACUAAACAUGCACAAGAAAUCUGUCCUUUUCAGGACAAAAAUUUAAAACCGUCCUUUUCAAGGCAAAAAUACAAAAUUAUUCAUUUUGGAAUUAAUUCUAAAAAAAAGUUGUUUUCAGGAAAAGAUUCUACAAAGUAUAAUAAUCAUUUUCAGGCUGAAAUAUUUCAAGUACCUGAAUUAUUAAUGUACUGUUCUGCAUUUCAUUGUGAUAUUGUUGGAUUCUUUUUUCUGCUGUAUUAUAGGUAUGACUUCAGUAUGUUUUUCCCACUAAGAUGGCGGAAGUAUUAUGUGUUUUCAAUGAAGUAAGAAGUUUAUUA